rnacentral:lncRNA from 1 species
CCCUCUCAGGGUCUGUGAUGUCUCUGCCCUCACCACUCGCUCCAUCCUUCUGUUCCUUCCCGCCUGGGGAGGCCUCUGGUCUGCUGAACAGCCCACCUGCUUGUACCGGGCGGGGCACAAGUAGGAAAAGGGCAAAACACCAGGAGAGAAACAAGCACAUCGAUGACCUCAAUACCUAUUUCAGGAGCAUCUCUUGUGGACCAAGCACUGCUCUAGGCCCGGGGGUGGCAGCUAUGAGCAAGUGGACAGAGGCCUCCUCUCCAGGGAGCUGGAGGGGGCAGACAGCGAUGGUCAUACAGACUGCCGUUUAUGGAGCCCUACUAUGUGCCAGGCCCUGUGUCAGCUCAUUCACUCCUUCCAACAACAUAAUGACAUAAGUGCUGCUAUUACACCUAUUUCAGAGGUGAGGAAAUAGAGGCACAGAGAGGGUCAGUAACUUACCCAAGCUGGUAGAUAAUUGGGGCGAGAUUCUGACCUGGGCAGACUGAAAACUAAACAAGGUUAUGGAGUAGAGAAGGGCCGGCUAUGCGUCCAGCUGGGGAGGAUGCUUACAGUGUUUCCUCGAUGAGGAGGUGCCUCUGAGCCGAGACCUGCCUGAUGAUAAGAAGCAGCUGUGCCGAGAUCUGGGGGUAAACCUGGGAGUCAUCCAGGAGGAGGUGAUGUUCACGAAUUGCCAAAGGCAGGAGGAGAGAGAUUGAAGGACUCUUUCUGGAAACUGCCAGUUGUCCAGACAAUGCAUGGCUUUUUGCCAAGUGGUGCCAUGUCCACACCCAGGAUCCAAACCCGUGGACCCUGGGCCACCGAGAAGCGGAACGUGCGAACUUAACUGCUGCGCCACCGGGCCGGCCCACGGACAGUUUAAUAAGCAGACAGACAACACACUAGUGAACAGAAUCAGCAUUCCUCUAUUUUCCCAAUUUCCUGAAAUUCACAUGCUCAACCUGUGCAAUAUCCUGUCAGAGGCCAAUCUGGGAGGUGGGGUCCUGUGGUGACCCAGACAGAUGAGGCCCCUGCUUUCCUGGAACAGGUAUGAUUUUGUAAGUGGGAGAAAUGAAACCCAGAGUAAAGGAGUAAAAAGAUUUUUUUGUUGUUGAGGAAGAUUGGCCCUGACCUAAUACCUGUUGCCAAUCUUCCUCUUUUUGCUUAAGGAAAAUUGUUGCUAAGCUAACAUCUGUGCCAAUCUUCCUCUGUUUUGUAUGUGGGACACCAGCACAGCAUGGCUUGAUGAGCAGUGUGUAGGUCCACGCCCGGGAUCUGACCUG